rnacentral:rRNA from 1 species
CUAUACAUGACUCUGCGCAUAUCAAUAAGCGGAGGAAAAGAAACUAACAAGGAUUCCCCUAGUAACGGCGAGUGAAGCGGGAAGAGCUCAAAUUUGAAAUCUUAAAGGGUUUCCCUUUACGAAUUGUAGUUUAAAGAAGUGUUUUCUGUUGGAGUUUCGGUAAAAGUUCUUUGGAAUAGGACAUCAUAGAGGGUGAGAAUCCCGUAUUUGACCGUUACUUUCCAGCUGUGUGAUACACUUUCAAAGAGUCGGAUUGUUUGGGGAUGCAGUCCAAAAUGGGUGGUAAAUUUCAUCUAAAGCUAAAUAUUGGCGAGAGACCGAUAGCGAACAAGUACCGUGAGGGAAAGAUGAAAAGAACUUUGAAAAGAGAGUUAAACAGUACGUGAAAUUGUCAAAAGGGAAGCGUUUGACACCAGUGUUGUUUAGUUGAAAAUCAAUUAAAUAUUUUUCGAUUUUAAGUAGUAUUGACCUUAUCAGCUUGCUGCUUUUUUUCGGGAAUUAUUUAAUGCACUUUUCAGUUAACAAGUCAACAUCAAUUUCUUUUGUUGUAAAAAGGUAAGAGGAAGGUGGCUUGCGCUUCGGCUCAAGUGUUUAUAGCCUUUUACCCCUGCAAUCGGAGAGAUUGAGGUACAUGCAGCGUAGACUCCUUCGGGGUUAGAUACAUUUGUGCCUAAGCUAUAGCCUUGUAUAGACAACUUGUUGACUAUGCUCAGUCAUGUAGCUUACUCGCUUAUGCUAUUUUACCUACGCUUAGGAUGUUGAUAGUCACAGCGUGUAC